CUGGCGGCGUGCCUAACACAUGCAAGUCGAACGGAGUGAAACGCUGAAUUGAUGGUAGCUUGCUACUGGAUUUUCUUGUUUCACUUAGUGGCGGACGGGUGAGUAACGCGUGAGUAACCUGCCUUACAGAGGGGGACAACAGUUGGAAACGACUGCUAAUACCGCAUAACAUAUUUUGAGGGCAUCCUCGAAAUAUCAAAGGAGCAAUCCGCUGUAAGAUGGACUCGCGUCUGACUAGAUAGUUGGUGGGGUAACGGCCUACCAAGUCGACGAUCAGUAGCCGGACUGAGAGGUUGAACGGCCACAUUGGGACUGAGACACAGCCCAGACUCCUACGGGAGGCAGCAGUGGGGGAUAUUGCACAAUGGAGGAAACUCUGAUGCAGCAACGCCGCGUGAGGGAAGAAGGUUUUCGGAUUGUAAACCUCUGUUUUUAGUGAAGAAUAAAUGACGGUAGCUAAAGAGGAAGCCACGGCUAACUACGUG
rnacentral:rRNA from 1 species